rnacentral:rRNA from 1 species
UACGUAGGGGGCAAGCGUUGUCCGGAUUUAUUGGGCGUAAAGAGCUCGUAGGCGGUUUGGUAAGUCAGGUGUGAAAUCUCCACGCUCAACGUGGAGGGGCCACCUGAUACUGCCAUGACUGGAGUCCGGUAGAGGAGUGUGGAAUUCCCGGUGUAGUGGUGAAAUGCGUAGAGAUCGGGAGGAACACCUGUGGCGAAGGCGGCCCCCUGGGCCGGCCCUGACACUGAGACGCGAAGGCGUGGGGAGCGAACGGG